rnacentral:snRNA from 1 species
GUGCUUGCUUCAGCAGCACAUAUACUAAAACUGAAACAAUUCAGACAAGAUUAGCAUGGCCCCUGUGCAAGGAUGACAUGCAAAUUCGUGAAGCAUUCCAUAUUUUU